UGAGAGCGGCGAAAGGGAGAGUAACGCGUAGUUACGUGCCCCGAGGUCCGGAAUAGCCACGGGAAACUGUGGGUAAUGCCGGAUAAUAUCCCCGGAUCAAAGGUGUGAUUCCGCCUCGGGAGCGGACUGCGUUGUACUAGCUUGUUGGUAGGGUAAUGGCCUACCAAGGCGAUGAUGCAUACCGGGCGUGAGAGCGUGGCCCGGCUCACUGGGACUGAGACACUGCCCAGACACCUACGGGUGGCUGCAGUCGAGAAUCUUCGGCAAUGGGCGAAAGCCUGACCGAGCGACGCCGCGUGCGGGAUGAAGGCCCUCGGGUUGUAAACCGCUGUCGUAGGGGAGGAAAUCUGUCGGGGUUCUCCCCGGUAGUUGACCUAUCCUAGGAGGAAGGACGGGCUAAGUUCGUGCCAGCAGCCGCGGUAAUACGAACCGUCCAAACGUUAUUCGGAAUUAUUGGGCUUAAAGGGUACGUAGGCGGCGCUGUUAGUCGGGUGUGAAAUCCCUCGGCUCAACCGAGGAACUGCGCCCGAUACUGCAGUGCUUGAGGGAGGCAGAGGUAAGCGGAACUGAUGGUGGAGCGGUGAAAUGCGUUGAUAUCAUCAGGAACACCAGUGGCGAAAGCGGCUUACUGGGUCUCUUCUGACGCUGAGGUACGAAAGCUA
rnacentral:rRNA from 1 species